rnacentral:lncRNA from 1 species
GAAAAGGUUUGCAAAGAGUAUGGAAUGGCAAUUAAUUGAAAACAAAAAUUAAAAAUUGAAGAAUGCACAAUAAUUGGAAAAGAAGUAAAGAAUGAGAACCCUUUCCUUUUAGGCUCCAUUGUAUUGGUAAGAGUAGGGGUUGCCAUCAGUAGCAAGAACUCCUUCUCCUUAUUUUCCUCUUCUUUCUUCUUUUCUUCUUCUUUUUUGUUUUCCUCUUCUCUUCUCUCUCUUUCUUGUCUCUCUAUUUUCUUUCUCUCUUUUUCUUUUCUCUCUCUCUCUUUCAUCUCUCUUCUUCCUUUCUCUUUCUUUCUUCUCUCGCUCUCUUCUCUUCUUCUCGUCUUUGUUCCUCCUGUUUUCUAUCAACAUCUCUUUUUAGUUUCAACUUUAUUUGCUUAGUUUUCAGCUCCAUA